rnacentral:tRNA from 1 species
GCCGAGAUAGCUCAGUUGGCAGAGCAACGCAUUCGUAACGCGUAGGUCACGGGUUCGACUCCCGUUCUCGGCUCAA